UAGAAUGGAUGUGUUAAAAAAUUUCUGAAUAAAUUAAUUGUUAAAAUUAUUGAUGUACCGAUAAAACUUUUAUUAAAAAUUAUUGAUAUGACGAUAAAUUUUUUAUUAGAAAUUGCUAAUGCUAAACCAUUUUGGGAUGAAAAUGGCAUAAAAAUAUCAAAAAUUGAACCACCAAUUCGAGCAAGAUUUGUGAUUUUCCAAGUUACUUGCAAAAACAUAUUUGAAUGUGUCCAACUCAUCCCUUGAAUAUUUAUUACCAGAAAAUGCAACAACAAAAAUUACAGAAGAAACAAAUCAGCGAAUGAAGUAAUUGAUUGGAAUGAAAUGAAUUACUCUCAAUAUUUGGAUACUAAUCUAUCUACACCAGACGAUGACGACAACACUGUAUAUCAAUAUCUUUAUCUAUGAUACUACAAUCUAUCAAAUAAUUUGAAUUUAAAAUUAAGCAACGGCAGUUCAGCCGGACGGCGGCGGUAGAUAGUAUACGGCGUCAGAAAUAAACCAUGAAAUUAGUAGAGGAAGAAUGUUGGAUGGUUGGAGGAAAAGUCAAGAACCGGAAAUCAAUAUAACCAUCCCGAACGCUGACGUUUUGCCUUCCUGCCGGGAAUUGACAAAUAAGAACCGUGAGUCUGGCGAUUGCCUCCGUGUAUCCUUCCAACAGCUCCGCCGCCGCCGCUACCGUGAUCAUCUCGUAUUAUACUUUCUGAAGGACUUGGUAUUUCAUUAAUUUCUGAAUGGGAGAUGGACGGAGGGAUAUAUAUUUGGGAUGGUGAGUCGUAUUUAAUUUGUCUUCAUCUAAAUUGGAAUGACGUGGACGAAUGAGGCGCCCCCGUUGGUUGAUGACUCG
rnacentral:lncRNA from 1 species